rnacentral:misc_RNA from 1 species
CAGACUCAUUUAUAAUCUGUUGCAAGAAGAGUUGCAGAGUGGACUGCACGCCUUAUCCAUCUCAGCAAAGACGCCUGAUGAACUCUGAAGCCAAUCAUCCUAACUCACUUGAAAGAGGUUUUCCUUCAAUUUUAUCUGUUUUCAAGUUCUAUUUUCUGGCUGAGGAACUUCUAUGAUUUCUGAGGAGUAUUUAUGUUGCAAUUAUCAUAAUGUUAGGCUUAGAUGUUGAAGUUUUGGUGUUG